AUGAGUCCCCCUGCCCUGUUGUGCAUUACAAGGACCCUGGGUUUUGUUGUUGUUGCAGAUGAGAGGAUCAGUACUGCUGUGGGCUCUGUGAGUGUGGAUUUGGAGAGGGACCCAAGAUGCCUGCGAAGAGGCAAUGAUGGCAGAGCUGAUGAAGCUCCUACAGUCAGGAGAGAGACACAUGACAUACCUCGGGCACUUAGUGUGGCUCACCCUCCAGAGCUGAACAGGUCUAUGGAACUCCAAUGGAAGGCUGGGUCCCUGAUGGAAAUCUUAUUGUCACCACCUGUUUGCACCCCUAACACACUGGUAAUUCCUUACGGUCACAGGUGCUGCCUUAUCCCAAGCACCUAACACAGGCCCACAUACAUUUGGUACACAGUAAGUACUUAUUAUUGCAUGAAUGCAUGCUUGACUGACUCAGUGAACUUACUCUGGACCUGGUGAGUGGAGGUUGGAAACUUGCCGGACCUUUUGACUUUCAGGCAGUUGAUCCAUUAAUCUAUUCUUGAGAGCUUUCUUUCCUUCACAUGAUCGGUUACAGUUUGGUCCCACUCAGCCCACCUCAAUCCCAAGUUACACCCAGAGACAGUCAGUCCUGGAAGGAAGUGAGAAGAGACAAGCAGGAGGGUAGGAGUGAGGCUCUGGCUUCCUUAUUCUGUAAGGCAGCCUCCAUGUCAGGCCCACCCAAGAUAAACUCUCUUUUGGUUAAUUCAGAGUCAAUGAUCAGUAAUCUAAUGGCAUGAGUGAAGUCCCACACUUGAGGGGAGGGGAACUACAGGGUGUAUACUUCAGGCAUGGGACCCUCGGGAGCUGUUUCAGAAUUCGUCAUGCCACACCAUGGCUCAGAGGACUCCCGGGACUUGUGUAAGUUCCCCUGGCUAGAGGCAGAGGAGCCAGAACUGAACCCUGCUGAUAAGAACCCAUGGCAACCAUUCUACUGUAGGAAUGGGGGGUUAUAAGUGUUGAGAUUCAGGAGUGUAGAUCUUGAACUCUUCCCUCUUUCAGCGGGUAACUGCAAAGAACCCUUCAGUUACCCCCAGACGGGGCAUGGUAGACCACAGAGACAUAUUCUAGAGACCCAGAGAGGGGCUGCACAUCUUUGGCCACAUGAAAUGAUUACUGUAGAAGUUUAGAUUAUAGAAUCAUAACCUGUCAGGGCUUACAAGGCGCCCAGAAAGUCAGUUAAUCCAUAGUUUCCGGAGUUGUGUUCUGUGAGAUCCUAGUCCCAAAAUGUCAAUGAUCAUCCUCUGGAAAAAGAAGUCCAUAGUUGAAAAAGUUUGAACCUUGGGUUAAACACAGUAAAAGAACUCAUGUCACUGCAGGAUUUUGGGUGGGCGAUGGGGGUGGGUGGAGUCUUUCAGAUGUUAAUAAGCUUUGGGAAUCUCUAAGAGGAGGAAAAUAUAUUUGGCUCCAGAACCUUCAUUGUGUGUAAGUGGGUACUAACGAGGCAUGGACCAAGGUUUGGGAGAGGAUGACUAGUGUAGUCCAGACAGUUAGUGGCAGCAGUUGGACUGAGUGAUCUCCCAGGGUCUCUCGGAGCCCCAGAAGGGAGGGAGAACGGUGGUUUGGAUGGCAAUGGGGUUCUGUUGUGUCAUGCUGUUUCCUACUGAGGAAAGGCCAGGUCCCAAGGAGUGUGAAUGGUGCCCCUUUUUAAACACAGCCUGGAGGAGGGCUUGCAGCCCUGGGGAAGGAAGAAGCUUGUCUCGACUCUGUUAGUGAAUAAAAGAAAGGGAGCUGGGCCUGUUGGUUUAAUG
rnacentral:lncRNA from 1 species